UUGAAUUCCGUUCGUCACUAUCAUCUGUCUCAAUGGAGCUGCCGGAGUGCCCAGUGUGCCUCGAAUCCUACGACGACGGCGCGGCGGUUCCUCGGGUCCUAUCGUGCGGCCACACCGUCUGCGAGGCCUGCCUGGCGGAACUCCGUCACCGGUACCCGAAUACAAUCCGGUGCCCCGCUUGUACCCGACUCGUCAAGUACCAAUCCCCUUCUUCUCUUCCAAAGAACAUCGACCUCCUCAGACUCUGCCUGCAACAAUCCUCUUCCUCUGAUCAUCGCUCGCGGAAGCCGAAUCACCGGUCCACGAUCAACGAUGACGAUGAUCGACCUGGAUUCUGGUCCGAUGAGUUCUAUGCCAAUUGGAAGGACUGGAUUCUCCCGCACGACACCGUUUUGGUCGACGACGACGGUGUUCGCCGGUUCGGUUCGGGGUCUAAGGGAAGGGCUUGCUUCGGGGUGAACCACGCUGUGAGUAUCGUUGAUGUAAUUUCCUUGCCUCAUGUGAGUGAUUCGGUUACUGGGUUCAAGUUUAGUUAUGUUGCUUGGGUGAUCAAGUGUUUGAUGGGGAUGAGCGAGGUUGUGAGGGAGGGGUUAGGGUUGAUUCUAGAAGCUUCCGUGAGGCGGAGUAGGGUUUGUAGGGUUUAUGGGUUGUGGUGUGAGGUGGUGGGUGGGCCUUUGUAUUUGGUGAGUGAGAGGCACUGUGGUAGUCUUUUGGAGAAGUUUAGGGAAUUGAAGGAUGGGUUUGUUGGUGUCAGUGGGGAUAAGGGUUGGGUUUUCAGUUUUGUAGUGGUUGGAAAGGGGUUGUGUGAAGCUGUGCUAGCUUUGCAUUUGGAAGGUUUGGUUGCUGGGUGCUUGGGACUUUCCUGCUUCUCUUCUGAUGAGCUUGGUGGGGUUUGUAUUGAUUUGAAUGAGGUGUUGGUGAUGGGAAGGAAGAUUAAGGGUGAUGUUUCUGGUGGCGCGGGUGAUAAACAUGAAGAAGAAGAAGAAGAAGAAGAAGAAGAAGAAGAAGAAGAAGCAAUGUGUAAGGAUUGUUUGCGAAAUGAGCUUUUCGUAAGUCCAGAGGUUUGGUUUAGGUUGUUGCAAAAGGGGGCUGUUGCUCCUGAGAGUGGACAUUCAAGGUAUCCAAUUGGGUAUGGCUCAGAUGUGUGGUCAUUGGCCUGUAUACUUCUGUGGCUUCUUAUUGGAGAUGCACUCCCUCGGAAUACCUUGGAAAUGAAGGAUGAGGGUGAUGGCCUUGAUGUCUCAGCUAGUUACGUUUCUUGGGUGGAGAAAGUUAGUUCUGUUUUGGAAGAGAAAUUAGGCUCUGAAUAUCUAUCACUGGGACAGACACUUUGCAGAUGUUUGGACAUCAAUCCAGGAAACCGUCCAGAUGUGGUGGAUGUGAGGAAAUGCAUUCAGGAUAUGCUAGUGGAACCUCAAUUUGAUUUUCUGGGCAAUUUGGAGGUCACCCUAAAUAGGAACAAGCCAUGUCACUGCUUGAUUCUUGCGGAAUUGUGUCAGUUAACUAAGGAAAGUUCCAAGGAGCAAAGAGAAUUUGAGUUGCAGGAGAAAGGAGAUGGUGGUCAACCAGAUUUUGUUCAAGAUGGGGAAGACGAAUCUAAUGAAGACUUUACUGCUGGCCUAUCUGAGGGGAUGACUGAACUUAAAGUUCUGCAAGGUCAUCUAGAUUGUAUCUCUGGCUUGGCUGUUGGAGGGGGGUAUCUGUUUAGCUCCUCAUUUGAUAAAACUGUCCAUGUGUGGUCCUUGCAGGACUUUUCUCGUUUACACACAUUUAGAGGUCAUCAGAGUAAAGUCAUGGCUCUAGUUUAUGUAGACGAAGAAGAACCAUUGUGCAUAAGUGGUGACAAUGGAGGGGGCAUAUUUAUCUGGGGAAUUACUGCACCACUUGGGCAAGAUCCCUUGAGGAAAUGGUAUGAGCAGAAGGAUUGGCGCUUUAGUGGUAUCCAUUGCUUGACUGUUUCCAGAAAUCAUUGUCUCUACACUGGAAGUGGAGAUAGAACAAUAAAAGCCUGGUCAUUAAAGGAUGGAACUUUGAUGUGCACUAUGAAUGGCCAUAGAUCUGUAGUUUCCACACUUGCAGUAUGUGAUGAGGUUCUUUACAGUGGUAGUUGGGAUGGAACCAUUCGAUUGUGGAGUCUUGAUGAUCACAGCCCAUUGACGGUACUGGGGGAAGAUUUGCCUGGAGAGAUGAAGUCUAUCCUGGCUAUGACUGUCGAUAGGCAUUUGCUUGUUGCAGCAUAUGAGAAUGGAAUCAUUAAGGUCUGGAGAAACGAUGUAUUCAUGAAUUCCAAAACAUUGCAAAAUGGAGCCAUCUUUGCUAUGAGUAUGCACGGAAAAUGUCUUUAUACAGGAGGUUGGGACAAAAAGGUUAAUAUACAGGAAUUAUCAGGAGAUGAGUUUCAACUCGAUGUCAAAGCAUUUGGAUCCAUUUCUUGCAGUUCCGUUGUUACAGCUAUAUUAUGCCGCCAAAGAAAACUUUAUGUUGGAUAUGCUGACAAGUCUAUAAAGGUGUAUGAUUGUAAAUAGUAUGAGUUUGAGUUUCACCAGCUCCAUCUGUUCAGUUCAUGGUUCGAUUGCUCCACUUCCCGUCAAAUGUAAUUUUUUCUCAAAUUAUGUUGUAUCAUGUGAAUAACAUAAAGGUAAUCCGAUCCAAAUGAUUCAUAAAGGACGACAAAAUCCAACAGCAACUCACUAAGGAGAAGUCUCAGAAUCGCAGGGAUUUGGGUACUUUCUGCGAACAAUUUGGUAUUCAAGGUUGUCCCAAGAAACCUAAACCCAGAAAGCAAGAUCCUCCUCCCAGUGUUUGAUGAAGUGAUUUGUUGGGACUAUAUUAGGGCUUGGGAUAAUAUAAUCCUUGGUCUGCAAAACAAAAGUUUCAAACAUUCUUGGCUCAUUUAUUUUAAAUGGACCAACAAAUAUUCUUUUCCAAAUUGGUUUCAUUCAUGGUGGAGCUUCUUUGGACCUACAGCUGAAAUUUUCCCCUCUGAAGUUCUUGAGGGAUAUAAUCACUUCAUCAAACACUGGAACAAAGAGUUGAACAAUUAUCGAAGAGGAUUAAGAGAAGUAGGACGCCACCACGGAGGGGGUUUUUUGCAGAUUUGACAGAAGGUUGUUGUAAUUGAACCUCAAUAGUUUUGUGAGAGAUUUCUUCCUUGAGAAAGUUGAUCUGCUUCUCCUUGUAGGAUAUGACAUUCAAAGUUUUUUCUAUGGGGGGUUCAGAGAAUUUGAAUAAAAUUGGCUGUCCAAGGUGCUGGACAGUAAUGCCA